rnacentral:tRNA from 1 species
CCCCUGGUGAUCCAGCGGUUAAGACUCUGCACUCCCAAUGCAGGGGGCCUGGGUUCAAUCCCUGGUCAAGGAA